rnacentral:lncRNA from 1 species
AAGAGUAGUGAUCAUAUAUACUCGUGUUCUUCCUAAGUCCAUGGGACACCUCUGUUACCCUUACGAGGCUAAUAAGAGGUGGCAUUGAUUGGAGCUUUUUCUUUGCGUUGUUUUUUUUUUGUUGCCGUCGCCGUCAUCGUCAUCGGCAUAGGGCAGUAGCAGCACAUUACUGAAGUCGAUAUUGUAUACAUCUCGAACCAGUGUGAAUAAAUGGUCUUGUAUUUCUCGGACUUUUCUUCCAAAAAUUUCUAUGGCGAUCUUAGCGAACAUUUCGGAUGGAGCCUUAUUGGCUUGUUGAAGUCAAUGUUAGAGGCAAUGAUAAAGAUGAUGAUGAUGGUAGUGGAGAGGUUUGUUUCAUUGACAGUUUUUAGCAUGAUGCUAAUAAUACUGUGUUU